rnacentral:rRNA from 1 species
ACGAACGCUGGCGGCGUGCUUAACACAUGCAAGUCGAACGCUUCAUUCCUUCGGGGAUGAAGAGUGGCGCACGGGUGAGUAAUGAAUAGGAACAUACCAUUUGGUGGGGAAUAACUUCGAGAAAUCGAAGCUAAUACCGCAUAAGAACGAAAGUUGAAAGGGGGCCUCUGUUUACAAGCUCUCGCCGAUUGAUUGGCCUAUUUUCCAUUAGCUAGUUGGUAAGGUAAAGGCUUACCAAGGCGACGAUGGAUAGCUGGUCUGAGAGGAUGAUCAGCCACACUGGAACUGAGACACGGUCCAGACUCCUACGGGAGGCAGCAGUGGGGAAUCUUGCACAAUGGGCGAAAGCCUGAUGCAGCAACGCCGCGUGAGUGAAGAAGGCCCUUGGGUCGUAAAGCUCUUUCGGUUAGGAAGAAGGGUCUACUGAAGAAACGCUGUAGAUUUGACGGUACUAAAAGAAGAAGCACUGGCUAAUUCCGU